UUGUUUCACAUAGGUAGCUAAUUAUUAUUACUUUACUAAUAAUUAAACAUUUUAUUUGUAGGAAGGCAAAGUUCCUUAUAUUACCAUUUUUGGUAAUAUUAAACUUAAGAUCAGCAUUUUCUGCACCAGGAGAUGUUAGUUUUAUUGUAUCGACAACUGAACAACCAAAAGAUGGCCAGGAGGGAGAGACCACAGAAAUUGAAGAUGCUAACCUAGUGCCUGUAAUUUAUGAAAUGGAUGUACAUUCCAAUGUGACGAAUCGUUACGCUAAGACUGUGAUAACAAAUAGGGUAAAGAACCCAGCUAAGUCAGCCAAGCAAACAACCUUCUCUGUCGUUCUACCCGAAAAAGCAUUCAUUUCAGAAUUCGUGAUGGAAAUUGGCUGGAACAAGUACCAAGCUUACGUCAGGGAAAAA
rnacentral:lncRNA from 1 species